UACGUAGGGCGCAAGCGUUAUCCGGAAUUAUUGGGCGUAAAGAGCUCGUAGGCGGUUUGUCGCGUCUGCUGUGAAAACGCGAGGCUCAACCUCGCGCCUGCAGUGGGUACGGGCAGACUAGAGUGCGGUAGGGGAGAUUGGAAUUCCUGGUGUAGCGGUGGAAUGCGCAGAUAUCAGGAGGAACACCGAUGGCGAAGGCAGAUCUCUGGGCCGUGAACUGACGCUGAGGAGCGAAAGCGUGGGGAGCGAACAGG
rnacentral:rRNA from 1 species